GAGGUCUCCUUCCACACUGUGGGAGGUUUGUUCUUUCGCUCUUUGCAAUAAAUCUUGCUGUUGCUCACUCUUUGGGUCCACACUGCCUUUAUGAGUUGUAACACUCACCACGAAGGUCUGCAGCUUCACUCCUGAAGCCAGCAAGACCACAAACCCACCGGGAGGAACGAACAACUCCAGACGCGCCGCCUUAAGAGCUGUAACAAUCACCCCGAAUGUCUGCAGCUUCACUCCUGAGCCAGUGAGACCACGAACCUGCCAGAAGGAACAAACUCCGAACCGCCGCCUUUAAGAACUGUAACACUCACCGCGAGGGUCCGCGACUUCAUUCUUGAAGUCAGUGAGACCAAGAACCCACCAAUUCCGGACACACUUUCCCUGUUGCAUAUUUUUGUUGACUUUGUUGAAGGGGAUAUGCCCCGCUUUAGAACUGCUGGAUCCAUGCAUUUGUGCAUAUACAGUUUCCCCACAUACUCGCCAACUGGUCUCCAGAAUGGAUGCACCCACCAGUUUAUACUCCAUCCAGUAGAUGAAGAGUUGCUGCUUCCCACAGACUUGACAAUACUUGAUAUUAUCCAACUUUUUAAUUUAGCCAUUCUUGUUAAAGUUUUAGUUUGCAAUUAUCUGAAUUGAGAUUCUUUUCAUUAUGCCUUUUAGUCAUUUUAGUUUUCUCCUUCUUUGAAUUGUCUCUUUAUAUUCUUUGCUCAUUCUUCUAUGUGAUUGCCUGGGAUUUUUAAUUGUGGGUUUGUAGGAUUUCUUUAUAUUUUAAUCUUUUAUUAAUUGUUCACACCCCAAAUAUCUUCUCCCAGUCUGUCUAUAGUGUCCUACACAAAACAGAAGUCCUUACUUUUGACUUCAAUUUCACCAAUUUUUUUUGUAUGCCCUGGGCUUUACCUCAUUUGAGAAAUGCUCUCCCACUGUAUUGUUACAAAGACAUUCUCUAACAUUUUUUAUCAUAGCUUUAUAGUUUUGUCUUUUAUUUUGAGAUCUUCAUUACAAUGGGGGAUCAUUUUUAUAUGUGGUAUGAAUUUGGGGCCUGUAUUUUCUCCAAGUGUUUAGCCAAUUUUCACAAUAAUGUUUUUUAAAUAAUCUACCAUUUUCUCAAUGAUCUACUUACCAAGUUCUUAUAUACACAUGGAUUUGUUUUAGAUCCUAUUUUAUUUUAGAUUCUAUUCUAUUGUCUAUUUGGCAUUUUUAGUGUCAGUAUCACACUGAAUUACUAGAGCUUAGUAAUAUACCUUAAUAUCUAGUAAGAUAUUUCCCAACCUCUCUCUUCUUUUUAUGAACUGUUUUAGCUAUUUGUGGAUUUGCGUGUGACCAAUUCACCUCUAUUGGAUUUUUUAUUUUAGUUACAUUAAAUUUAUAUUUUAAUUUAGGAAGAAUUUAUAUCUUUAUGUUAAAUCUUCCUUCCACAAAUCUGGUAUUUCUACCUAAUCAGUUCUUUUUUUAAUGUCCCUUAAUAAUGCUUUAAAAUGUCUUCCAAAAUAAUUUUUGCAUUUUAGGUCAGUUUAUAUAUAUAUAUAUAUAUAUAUAUAUAUAUAUAUGCUAUUGUAAACAGUAUCUUAUCGUCUAUUAUAUUUUUUAACGGCUGUUGGUGUAAAAUAAGUCUAUUUAUCAUUACGUACUGAUUUGUGCUCAGCAAGCAAACUGAACUCUCUUUUUAGCUUUAGUCAUUUGUCUGUUGAUUCUCUUGAGUUUUCUAUGUACUUAAAUCAUCUACGCGUACUGACAGUUUUGUCUCCUUCCUUAUAGCUUUAUCCCUUAUUUCUUUUACUUCUCAUAUUUCAUUGGCCAGGACACCUAGUCCUUUGUAGAAAAGAAGGGAUCAUAGCAGGCAUUCUUUUUUGUUAUUGACAUUAAAGGGAAG
rnacentral:lncRNA from 1 species